GGCUGGUCCGAUGGUAGUGGGUCGGCAGAACUUACUAACAUUAGUGUCAUUAAAGUUGGUAUACAACCUCCCACUGCUAAAUUUGACUGGCUACAA
rnacentral:Y_RNA from 1 species